GGCCUUAUGGUCUAGUCGUAUGAUUCUCCCUUUGGGUUCCUUCAACGGUUCACGAGUGGGAGAGGUCUCGGGUUCAAUUCCCGAUGAGGCCC